GCCGUGUCUCGCAGUCGUGGGCUCCUGCAGCUGGGGCGCCCGCAGCCGCUCGUCACCCGCGGGAUGCUGUUUCUGGCGUUGGGCCGCCCGUGGGCGGUCGAACCUUCCCUCUGCGGAAGGAGGACUGCAUUGUGUGCGGCCGCCGCGCUCCGAGGUCCCCGGGCCUCUGUCUCCCGAGCGUCCUCCUGCAGCGGGCCUUCGGGGCCGGUAGCCGGCUGGAGUACGGGGCCCUGGGGAGCCGCGCGCCUUCUCCGGCGUCCGGGUCGAGCGCAGAUCCCUGUUUAUUGGGAAGGAUAUGUUCGAUGCUUACAUACGCCAUCUGGCAAAUCAGAAGAUGGAAGGCUAAUUUAUACUGGCAAUAUGGCCCGAGCAGUGUUUGGUAAGUAAUUGGAGGUGGGGGUACUUACUUUGUUUUUUUCUCUUUUAAUUGUAAAAAUAUCCUUACCAUAUCUUACUUGUUGUUAUGGCAUCCCUUAAUUACAAGACAUGAGGAAAAUUAGAUUUUCAUUUUUUUUCUUGAGGUGUGUUGAUAAGAUGU
rnacentral:sRNA from 1 species